rnacentral:rRNA from 1 species
ACUCUCAACAAUGGAUAUCUCAACUCUCGCAUCGAUGAAGAAUGUACUAAAAUGUGAUACAUGGUGUGAAUUGUAGAAUCCCAUGAACCAUUGAGUCUUUGAAUGCAAGUUGUGUUGUAAGCCAUUAGGCCAAGGGCACGCCUGCCUGGGUGUCAUGCAUUGUCUCCCCCUCUAAACCCCCACCCAUUAUGCUCUAUAGUAAGGGGCUGAAAAUUACCCCUCAUGAUCUCAUCGAUCGUGGUUGGCCCAAAAAUGAGUCCCCAACAAUGAUAGCAUCAUGAUCAUUGAUGGUAAAGCUCUUGACAUGCCUCGACUUUGGUGACGCAUGCUCAUUGUCCAUCUAGACCCCAUUGGACCCCUCACAUCACUUGAUUGAUGCUAGUAUCAUGACCCCAGGUCAAGUAGGAUUACCUAAUGAAUUUAAGCAUAUCAAUAUACAGAAAAAAAAAACUUACCAAGAUUCCCCUAGUAAUAACAAGCGAACUAGAAAGAGCCCAGCUUGAGAAUCGGGUGCCCAUGGCAUCUAAAUUGUAGUUUACAAAAGUGUCCUCAGUGGUGGACCAAGCCCAAGUCCCCAGGAAAGGGGAACCAGAGAGGUUGAGAGUCCUACUGUGCCUAAACCCUAUCAAACCAUCCAAGGUUGAAUAUGGGUGAGAAACUAAUAAAAAACAUGUAUCACGAGGGAAAGAUGAAAAAAUUUUUGAAAAAAGAGUCAAAGAGUUUUUGAAAUUAUCAAGAAAAAAGUGAAAUGGGGGCCAAUGAUGCAUCUUAGUUAAAUGUGGAACAACGAUAGCCAAUCCGUUGAUCGGCUAGGGCAUGGACCAUUGUGGGUUGUGGCAGUGGCCCAAACCCAAGCUUUCAAUAUGCCUAUGGAGACAUUGUUACCAUGAUUAUAAAAUACAGCACAUGCCAUCUCGACAUGCCUUGACACUCACGUACUCUUGACAUAGGCCUGUAGGUUCCUUAUCUGGCCCAUCUUGAAACAUGGACAAAGAUAACAUAUGUGUGAGUUAAUGGGGUAGAAAACCUAUAAAACACAAAGAAGCUGAUUGGUGGGAUCCCUCAUGAGUGAGCUACUAAUCGACCUUGAUCUUCUGAGAAAGGUUUGAGUGUGAGCAUGCCUAGAAAGACCAAAAAGAUAAGAAACUAUGCCUGAGUGGGACAAAGCCAAAGGAAACUAUGGUGGAGGCCCAUAAUGAUACUAGCAUGUAAAUUGUUCACCUAACUUGGGUAUAGGGGUGAAAGACUAAUCAAACUGUUUAAUAGCUGGUUCCCUUUGAAGUUUUCCUUAGGAUAGUUGAAGCCCUUAGUGAAUUCCAUCAAGUAAAGCUAAUGAUUAGAGGCAUCAAGGCUGCAACACCCUCGACCUAUCUUAAACUUUAAAUAGGUAGGAUGGUGUGACUUCAUUAAGCCAUGCCACGAAAUUGAGAGCUCCAAGUGGGCCAUUUUUGGUAAGCAAAACUGGUGAUGCAGAAUGAACCAGAAGCCAAGUUAUGGUGCCCAACUUUGCACUAACCUAGAACCCAUAAAGUGUGUUGGUUGAUUAAGAUAGCAGAACAGUGGUCAUGAAAGUUGAAAUUUGCUAAAAAGUGUGUAACAACUCACCUACCGAGUCAACUAGCCCUGAAAAUGGAUGACGCUUAAGCACAUGACCUAUACUCGACUAUCAGGGUAAGGGCCAAGCCCAAUGAGUAAGAAAGCACAUGGUUGAUGUAAAACUUAAGGCAUGAGCUCAGGUGGAGCAACGAUCAGUGUAGAUCUUGGCAUUAGUAGUAAAUAUUCAAAUGAAAACUUUGAAGGCCAAAGAGAGGAAAGGUUCCAUGUGAAUGGCACUUGCAUAUAGGUUAGUUGAUCCUAAGAGAUGGGGAAGAUAGUCUAAUAGUGCAUCCAGCACAAGCUUUGAAAGGGAAUAAGGUUAAAAUUCUUGAACUGAGAUACAGUGAUUGAAGGCAAUAUUAAAAAAUCUAGAGACAUUGGUGGGUCUUCAAAAAGAGUUAUCUUUUCUAUUUCAUGGCCUUCCCACCCUGAAAAUGACACAAUUGUAGGUAAGGUCCAGUAGCUAGAUGAGCAACGUAUGUUGCUUAGUGUCUGGUGCACCCUUAGCAACCCUUGAAAAUUUAGAGCACUGAGUGCCAUCCAUGUCCAAUCAUACUCAUAACCACAUCAGGUAUUUAAAGUAAACAACCAUUGGUCAAUGGAACAAUGUAUGCAAUAAAAGUUGGCAAAAUGGAUUCGUAACCUCAAGAAAAGGAUCAGCUUGAGGGCUGUGCAUGGGGGUCCUAUUCCUCAACCCAUCAGCUAUAAAUGCACUAUUGAGCUAUUCCCAUGGCAAGAGCAAGUCACCAUGUGUCGAUCAGGAGCCUUCCCCAAACAAUGAAUAGUCAACUUUGAACUAGUAUGGACUAAGGGAAUCUGACUAUUUAAUUAAAACAAAACAUUGUGAUAGUCCCUACAGAUGCUCACACAAUGUGAUUUUUGCCCAAUGCUUUAAAUGUCAAAGUGAAAAAAUUCAAUCGAGUGUAGGUAAACUGUGGGAGUAAAUUAUUGAUGCGCAUGAAAGGAUUAAUGAGAUUCCCACUAUCCCUGUCUAUUAUCUAGCAAACCUACACCCAAGGGAAUGGGUUUGGCAGAAUCAGCAAGGAAGAAGACCCAAUUGAGCUUAACUCUAGUCUGACAUUGUGAAAUGACUUGAGAGGUGUAGGAUAAGUGGGAGCCCUCAGGUGAAAUUGAAAUACCACUACUUUAAUGCUACUUUACUUAUUUUGUAAAUCAAAGGAAGGACAUGACCCCUUUCUUUUUAUGAAAGAUGAACAAUUGUGAAAGCAUUUACCAAGGAUGUUUUCAUUAAUCAAGAAUGAAAGUUGCAAGCUUGAAGAUGAUCAGAUAUCAUCCUAGUCUUAACCAUAAAUGAUGUCAACCAAGGAUCGAUGGAUGUUACUUUUAGGACUCCAUCGACACCUUAUGAGAAAUCAAAGUCUUUGGGUUCUGGGGGAGCAUGGUUACAAGGCUAAAACUUAAAGGAAUUGAUGGAAGGGCACCACCAAGAGUGCAACCUAUGGCUUAAUUUGACUCAAUACAGGGAAACUUACUAGGUCUAGACAUAGUAAAGAUUGAUAAACUGAGAGCUCUCUCUUGAUUCUAUGGGAGGUGGUGCAUGGUAGUUCUUAGUUGGUGGAUUGAUUUGUCUAGUUAAAUCCAUUAACGAACAAGACCUCAGCUUGUUAACUAGCUAUAUGGAGGUGAUCCUUUGUGGCUAGCUACUUAGAGGGACUAUGGCUACUUAAGCUAAGGAAGUUUAAGACAAUAACAGGUUUGUGAUGCCCUAAGAUGUUCUAGGUUGCACAUGUGUUACACUGAUGUAUUCAAUGAGUCUAUAGCCUUGGCUGACAGGUCUAAGUAAUCUUUCAAAUUUCAUCAUGCUAGGGAUAGUAAGUGCGAGUCAUCAGCUCAUGUUGACUACAUCCUUACCCUUUUUACACACCGCUCAUCCUACUGAUUGAAUGUCUAGUGAAGUGUUUAGAUCAUGGUGACGUGGAUGGUUUGCUACCUGCGACAUCAUGGGAAGUCCACUGAACCUUAUCAUUCAA